rnacentral:tRNA from 1 species
GCGGUCGUAGCUCAGCUGGUUAGAGCGCCGCCCUGUCACGGCGGAGGCCGAGGGUUCGAGUCCCUUCGACCGCG